UUGAGUCUUGUUAAGUCAUUAUAGAGAUGGAAUUUAGGACUUGCUCUAAUUGAAAUGGGAUUGUAUCGCUCCAGGAAAAGACUCUGUAGUUCGAGUACCUCUACCUAGGUUCAUUCUCCUGCUCAGUUCCUUCUGGCUAAUUUACCCCUACCUUACCACCACCACUGUUUCAUGAGGAACAAGAUUUGCCUUUUGGCCCUCAAUCUUUAAAUGCAAUGCAGGGCACGGUCUUUCCGUGAAGCAAAAUCCAAACCAACUCGAAACUGAAAAAUAAAUCCAAGUCUGUGCAGACUGCAGACAGCAGAAAUGGGCCACGGUUCCUGCAGUGACUUGACCCACAGAACUCUGUUAAGCACGCUCACUGCAUCUCACUGCAACUGGCCAAGAGCUCCCGCCUCCAUGGUGUGAAAUGAGAUCCCCUAUGAAGCAGCUCGGCACAAUCGUCUGUGGCCAGAUGAAUUCCUCGGCUGCAUUUUAAGUCUGCAGACCUGGUAGAUAAGUGCAGUGGACAAAGAUUUGGAUCUCCGUGUCACCAAGCUAAGUGAGGCCCUGAACUUUGAUCUCAUAUUGCCACAUUAAUCUGCUUCACUGACCAAAUCCCUAACAGCAGACUGUUAAU